UACGUAGGGUGCGAGCGUUGUCCGGAAUUAUUGGGCGUAAAGGGCUCGUAGGCGGUUUGUCGCGUCGGGAGUGAAAUCAUCUGGCUUAACUGGGUGCUUGCUUUCGAUACGGGCAGACUAGAGGUAUGCAGGGGAGAACGGAAUUCCUGGUGUAGCGGUGAAAUGCGCAGAUAUCAGGAGGAACACCGGUGGCGAAGGCGGUUCUCUGGGCAUGAUCUGACGCUGAGGAGCGAAAGCCAGGGGAGCAAACAGG
rnacentral:rRNA from 1 species